GAACUUAAGCAUAUCAAUAAGCGGAGGAAAAGAAACCAACAGGGAUUGCCCCAGUAACGGCGAGUGAAGCGGCAACAGCUCAAAUUUGAAAUCUGGCCCCCAGGGUCCGAGUUGUAAUUUGCAGAGGAUGAUUUUGGCGAGGUGCCUUCCGAGUUCCCUGGAACGGGACGCCACAGAGGGUGAGAGCCCCGUCUGGUUGGACGCCGAGCCUAUGUAAAUCUCCUUCGACGAGUCGAGUAGUUUGGGAAUGCUGCUCUAAAUGGGAGGUAUAUGUCUUCUAAAGCUAAAUAUUGGCCAGAGACCGAUAGCGCACAAGUAGAGUGAUCGAAAGAUGAAAAGCACUUUGAAAAGAGGGUUAAAUAGUACGUGAAAUUGUUGAAAGGGAAGCGCUCAUGACCAGACUUGGGCCCGGUGAAUCAUCCAGCGUUCUCGCUGGUGCACUUUGCCGGGCUCAGGCCAGCAUCAGUUUGCCCCGGGGGAUAAAGGCUUUGGGAAUGUGGCUCCUCCGGGAGUGUUAUAGCCCAUUGCAUAAUAUCCUGGGGCGGACUGAGGUUCGCGCAUCUGCAAGGAUGCUGGCGUAAUGGUCAUCAGCGACCCGUCUUGAAACACGGACCAAGGAGUCGUCUUCGUAUGCGAGUGUUCGGGUGUAAAACCCCUACGCGUAAUGAAAGUGAACGCAGGUGAGAGCUUCGGCGCAUCAUCGACCGAUCCUGAUGUUCUCGGAUGGAUUUGAGUAAGAGCAUACGGGGCCGGACCCGAAA
rnacentral:rRNA from 1 species